UGAAGGGUGGACUGGUCAGGUAGAGUGAAGGGUGGACUGAUCAGGUAGAGUGAAGGGUGGACUGGUCAGGUAGAGUGAAGGGUGGACUGAUGAGGUAGAGUGAAGGGUGGACUGAUCAGGUAGAGUGAAGGGUGGACUGAUCAGGUAGAGUGAAGGGUGAACUAGUCAGGUAAAGGGUGGACUGAUAAGGUAGAGCAAAGGGUGGACUGAUAAGGUAGGGAUGGACUGAUAAGGUAGAGUAAAGGGUGGACUGAUAAGGUAGGGGUGGACUGAUGAGGUAGAGUGAAGGGUGGACUGAUGAGGUAGAGUGAAGGGUGGACUGAUCAGGUAAAGGGUGGACUGAUGAGGUAGGGAUGGACUGAUCAGGUAGAGUGAAGGGUGGACUGAUCAGGUAGAGUGAAGGGUGGACUGAUCAGGUAGAGUGAAGGGUGAACUGAUCAGGUAGAGUGAAGGGUGGACUGAUCAGGUAGAGUGAAGGGUGGACUGAUCAGGUAGAGUGAAGGGUGGACUGAUCAGGUAGAGUGAAGGGUGGACUGAUCAGGUAGAGUGAAGGGUGGACUGAUCAGGUAGAGUGAAGGGUGGACUGAUCAGGUAGAGUGAAGGGUGGACUGAUCAGGUAGAGUGAAGGGUGGACUGAUCAGGUAGAGUGAAGGGUGGACUGAUCAGGUAGAGUGAAGGGUGGACUGAUCAGGUAGAGUGAAGGGUGGACUGAUCAGGUAGAGUAAAGGGUGGACUGAUCAGGUAGAGUGAAGGGUGGACUGAUCAGGUAGAGUGAAGGGUGGACUGAUCAGGUAGAGUGAAGGGUGGACUGAUCAGGUAGAGUGAAGGGUGGACUGAUCAGGUAGAGUGAAGGAUGGACUGAUCAGGUAGAGUGAAGGGUGGACUGAUCAGGUAGAGUGAAGGAUGGACUGAUCAGGUAGAGUGAAGGAUGGACUGAUCAGGUAGAGUGAAGGGUGGACUGAUCAGGUAGAGUGAAGGGUGGACUGAUCAGGUAGAGUGAAGGAUGGACUGAUGAGGUAGAGUGAAGGGUGGACUGAUAAGGUAGAGUAAAGGGUGGACUGAUCAGGUAGAGUGAAGGGUGGACUGAUCAGGUAGAGUGAAGGGUGGACUGAUAAGGUAGAGUAAAGGGUGGACUGAUCAGGUAGAGUGAAGGGUGGACUGAUCAGGUAGAGUGAAGGGUGGACUGAUCAGGUAAAGGGUGGACUGAUGAGGUAGGGAUGGACUGAUCAGGUAGGGAUGGACUGAUCAGGUAGAGUAAAGGGUGGACUGGUCAGGUAAAGGGUGGACUGAUAAGGUAGGGGUGGACUGAUAAGGUAGGGAUGGACUGAACAGGUAGAGUGAAGGGUGGACUGGUCAGGUAAAGGGUGGACUGAUAAGGUAGGGAUGGACUGAUCAGGUAGAGUGAAGGGUGGACUGAUGAGGUAGAGUGAAGGGUGAACUAGUCAGGUAAAGGCUGGACUGAUAAGGUAGAGUAAAGGCUGGACUGAUAAGGUAGGGAUGGACUGAUAAGGUAAAGUAAAGGGUGGACUGAUAAGGUAGGGAUGGACUGAUCAGGUAGAGUGAAGGGUGGACUGGUCAGGUAGAGUGAAGGGUGGACUGAUCAGGUAGAGUGAAGGGUGGACUGAUCAGGUAGAGUAAAGGGUGGACUGAUCAGGUAGAGUGAAGGGUGGACUGAUCAGGUAGAGUGAAGGGUGGACUGAUCAGGUAGAGUGAAGGGUGGACUGGUCAGGUAGAGUGAAGGGUGGACUGAUCAGGUAAAGGGUGGACUGAUGAGGUAGGGAUGGACUGAUCAGGUAGGGAUGGACUGAUCAGGUAGAGUAAAGGGUGGACUGGUCAGGUAAAGGGUGGACUGAUAAGGUAGGGGUGGACUGAUAAGGUAGGGAUGGACUGAACAGGUAGAGUGAAGGGUGGACUGGUCAGGUAAAGGGUGGACUGAUAAGGUAGGGAUGGACUGAUCAGGUAGAGUGAAGGGUGGACUGAUGAGGUAGAGUGAAGGGUGAACUAGUCAGGUAAAGGCUGGACUGAUAAGGUAGAGUAAAGGCUGGACUGAUAAGGUAGGGAUGGACUGAUAAGGUAAAGUAAAGGGUGGACUGAUAAGGUAGGGGUGGACUGAUCAGGUAGGGAUGGACUGAUCAGGUAGAGUGAAGGGUGGACUGAUGAGGUAGAGUGAAGGGUGAACUAGUCAGGUAAAGGCUGGACUGAUAAGGUAGAGUAAAGGGUGGACUGAUAAGGUAGGGAUGGACUGAUAAGGUAAAGUAAAGGGUGGACUGAUAAGGUAGGGGUGGACUGAUCAGGUAGGGAUGGACUGAUCAGGUAGAGCGAAGGGUGAACUGGUCUGUCUGUUGGCAGGAAACACUUAGCAGGAAGAGAUCUCAGAUAGGUAAAUAAUAUGUACAGAAACCUUUUUUUAAAGAUUAUGUUAACUUCCUAUAAAAGAUAGAAUAUUUAAGUCAAAACGUGAACAAACCAAAUCUGUUUUCUGAAUGUUUUUUGAAUUACUACAACUGCUGAUUUGUGUCUUGCCAAAGUAAGAUCAUUUGCCUUGGAUAUUUGAGUGACUUAACAGUAAUGUGCCACAUAAAAACGUGGCAUUUGUUUCAUUGAGAAAACAUGGUGUAUUGAAACCUGUGUAAACACUGUGUGUCGGGGGAUGAGCUCUCUGCUGCAGGCAUGUAUAUGGCCAACAAAUGUGACUCAGUCCAACUGUACGAAAUGUUUGUCAAGACAUCCUGCUCAUAUUAUAUGCCUUUAGGCUGUAAGAGGGUCAAAGAAGGGACAAGAAAAAAUAAUUUACCCCUGCAAACAAUCUUUAGCUUGACUGAUUGGAAUAACUGGACUUUUGACAUAAGCACAUGUGCGUACUAUACUAGAGCUUCCCUGUGUAUCAGCUGAAAGUACCUGCCUUCUUGUGAGGAUCUCCAUGUGGAUCGAUCAGAUGACAUUUGACGGAGAUCACCAGCAGUACAGGUCAGUAUGACCUGGUGAAGUUUGUCACAGGGGUCUAUCAGUCUCUCGGAUUUAUUUACAGAUUUCAGCUCACCCAACAGCCAUUUAAUCCCAAGUCAAGAACUUGAGAAAUUAGUAAAUAUUGUCCAUUAUUACAGAAAUACAAAUAUGAUGCACCAAGCAAAUGUUUGCAAGGCAUUCAUGUAUAGUUAUUGUUGUUCUAAGUUCAGUAAUCUUUGAAUAGUGACAUCUGUUUCAGUGUGUACGUCAAUGGGUGGGGUGUGGCAGGUCCGACAGCUGCGCUGUCAUGUUAGCCCAAGUCUAGUAGAUCUUUGUAACGCAUAGUAAAAGCAAAUGAAAUGGUAACCCGGGUGUAUUUGCCACAUUGUGUUUAUGAUUAUGAUUGAGUGACACAACAAAAUUAAUGUAACAGGUCUUUAGAAUAUUUCCAUAAUCAUAAGAACUAAAAGAAGAGCCCAUUGUAUGAUUCCCACUAUAUCGUAACUCUUGCUGCAUGAUGCUGUCAUUAAACACAAUUAUGUUGCAUGAAAAGCUAGAUUCAACUUUUCUAUGGGCAGAAACAAACAUAACAGUGAUCAUCCAGAAUUCAGAACAAGUCUUCCUUUAAACACUUAGCAUUUAAUAUUACAAGUGCAUCAAUCUAAAGCUCUUGUUUUUUUAUACAUGGAGCUUUCAAUGAACUUACUUAACCAAAUACUUGUAAGCAUUAUGAUAAAAACAAAUUUAAAAUGUCAUGAAAAAUGAGAUACUUAAAGUAUGAAAAAUGCCUUCCUUCUAACCUGACAUCAUGAAGAUGUAUAAAAAAUGUAAUUUUUGAAUUUGUAAGUCAUGGUCUAACUGAAAACAGACUAUUUCCAUGUCAGCAGCAUCCGGUUUGUCAUUCAAAUCCGUCACAAAAUGUUUUAAGUGAAUGAAAAAUCAUUGUCGUGUGAUAAUUCCUGCAAGAGAAAAGGCUCUCAAGAUGUGUAUGAUCUACGAAAUUUCAUUUGAAAAUCAUUUUAUGUGAUCUCACCAGACAUACCCUUAGAAAGUCUUUUAUGUUAAAAAUCAUAAAAACUAAAAGUUGUCAAUCAUGAGUGAUCACUACUCCUUUAGUCUAUUACCAGAAAUAUCAAUCUGUCUGAUGGCUGGUGAUGGACAUGGCUAGACUCUAGAACUAUUGUCAGAUUUAUCAGAUCAGAUCUAGGAUAUGGUCCUGGCUAGACUCUAGAACUCUUGUCAGAUUUAUCAGAUCAGAUCUAGGAUAUGGUCCUGGCUAGACUCUAGAACUAUUGUCAGAUUUA